UGCAGUCGAACGGGGUUUGCAAAGAAGCUUGCUUUUUUGUAAACCUAGUGGCGGACGGGUGAGUAACGCGUGGAUAACCUGCCUGUAAGACUGGGAUAACACCGGGAAACCGGUGCUAAUACCGGGCGUGCUGUAGAAUGGGCAUCCAUUUUACAGGGAAGGGUUUAAACCUGCUUACAGAUGGGUCCGCGUCCCAUUAGCCAGCUGGUGGGGUAAAGGCCUACCAGGGCGACGAUGGGUAGCCGGCCUGAGAGGGUGGUCGGCCACACUGGGACUGAGACACGGCCCAGACUCCUACGGGAGGCAGCAGUGGGGAAUAUUGCGCAAUGGGCGGAAGCCUGACGCAGCGACGCCGCGUGGGUGACGAAGGCCUUCGGGUCGUAAAACCCUGUUGCAGGGGACGAAGGAAGUGACGGUACCCUGUGAGGAAGCCCCGGCUAACUACGUGCCAGCAGCCGCGGUAAAACGUAGGGGGCGAGCGUUGUCCGGAAUUACUGGGCGUAAAGAGCUCGUAGGCGGUAGCUCAAGUCAGCUGUGAAAACCGACGGCUUAACCGGAGGAUUGCAGUUGAUACUGGGUUACUUGAGGCAAGGAGAGGAAGGUGGAAUUCCCGGUGUAGCGGUGAAAUGCGUA
rnacentral:rRNA from 1 species